UUACCACUAUAGAGAAUCAAGAACGUGAGCUGACCGAAGACGAAUUCGUGAGGCACACCAAAGAACUUUGCCAGGAAAUGAAAAAGAAAAAUCUUAACACUGAGCAUAUAAAUAUGCUUUUAACUGCUACAAUGGUGAACCGACAAAAGUGGAUAUCAACACUUCCUGGUGGACUCAUCUCACCAAUAUUGAUGAAGUUCCCUUGCUUCUGGAAGAGCAGUUUUAUCAAAACUGAGAUGGAAAGACUUCUCAAGGAUACCACUGAAAGCUGGAAGACUAAAUUGAACAAGAUAUGUGACACACUGAUUAAGAAGGUUCCCAAGACUGACCAUCAUAGUUCACUGCAUGAAUAUGAUGUAAUUCACUACAUUGAAAAUGAAAUUUCCUUCAAACGAGGAAGAGGUGUGAAGUCUCAGCCAGUUAUCCUGCUAAGAGAAUUGUAUGGUGAUCAAGAUAAAGACUUCAGUAGUGCUGAAAAGUCUCCUCCUCACAUCAUCUUGACUGUUGAAAAUAAAAGCCUGAAGGAUGUAUAUAUCACUGGGGAUGGAUGUACAAUUCCAUGUGAAACAGGUGAUGA